rnacentral:lncRNA from 1 species
UCCUUUUUUCAUCAAACAAACGUUACUUAUAAAUACACCCAUUCUCUCUUGUUCUUCGAAACCCUAAUCCAGAAAUAACAAAAUUCAUCUUUUUCUUUCUCUAGUUCUCUUCUAGAACUAUGAAGUAAACCGUAAGAUUGACUUCAUCCGUAAGAUUGAUCGGAGCAGAGAAAGCAUAUCUUUUCGUGAAUUAUCUCCAUCCUCUGUUGUGAAUACAUCUUAAGUCAAUCCAGAUCGAUUUCAUGUCUCAAAGUCUCCCAUAAUUUCACUCGAUCAACGAUCUCGGCGGUGGAUUCUGACGAGGACGGCGAAGGAGAACAAGACGACGAAGGAUGCGAAAGCGGAAAAGAGGAUAUCUAGAAGACAUGGACAGUGAAAGCGACUAGCGAGUAGAGAACCAAAUCAUGAUAUGUGUUUGGUUCUGUUCCCAUGUCCUCCGUCCGUCCGGCGACAUCAUCUGAAAAUCUUGUGUUUCGUCAAUCACAAGCAAAGGUAUUUCUUUCUUAAUUUCCUUUUCUAUUUUUUGUUUCUUUUAUUAAAAAGAAUUUCAAACUUAUAUUAUUACUUUUUUAAUUAAGUUAUAUUAUUAUUAAACUAUUUUUAUAUUCAAUAUACUUUACACAUAAUAUAAAUUUUUAAAACUUCUUUUUCUUUUAUUAAACAAUGUUUGUAAACAUAUUUUUAUAUUACUAUUUAAACUUUAAGGGUUUUCUUUUUAUGAAGUGUUAAAUUUUCAGAUUUUGUGUAAACUAAUUGGAUACAUCAUCCAAACCCGUAAGAGGUGUUCUAGGUUCAAUAUGGUUUACACUUAUUUUUGAUUUUUGACACUUGUUUUUCUUUUAUUAAAAAAUAUUUUUAGAAUUAUAUUUUUAUAUUACUAUUAAAACUUUAAAGGUUUUCUUUUUAUUAAGUGUUACAUUUCUAGGUUUUGUGUAAACUAAUUGGAUACAUCAUCCAAACCCCUAAGAGGUGUUCUAGGUUCAAUAUGGUUUACACAUAAUAUAAAUUUUUAUCACUUGUUUUUAUUUUAUUAAAAAUAUUUUAAAAUUAUAUUUUCAUAUUACUAUUAAAACUUUAAAGGUUUUCUUUUUAUUAAGUGUUAAAUUUUUAUGUUUUGUGUAAACUAAUUGGAUACGUCAUCCAAACCCCUAAGAGGUGUUCUAGGUUCAAUAUGGUUUACACGUAAUAUAAAUUUUUAACACUUGUUUUUUUUUAAAACUCAUAUUUUUGUAUUACUAAUAAAACUUUGAUUUUUUUUACUAAGUUUAAAAUUUUUUCUACACAAAAUCCAAAUUUCUAAGAUAGUUCUAGUUCAAUAUGGUUAACUUACAAGUUAUACAAGUGAUGAAAAGUUAAUGGUUUAACCCAAAAUAUUUAAAAGUGUCAGUAGAACAUAGACGUUGAUAUGGCCGAGUUGGUCUAAGGCGCCAGAUUAAGGUUCUGGUCCGAAAGGGCGUGGGUUCAAAUCCCACUGUCAACAAAUCCUAAUUUUUUGGAGAUUGUUUUUAUCAAUGAACAAAAUUUAUUAAGCAACAGUGAGAUUGAACAUGCCAUCAUCAUAUAUGGCCCAUAUCAACAUCGAUCCACUAUUUCAACAACAUGCUUCGUUCGUCUUCUGCUUACUUUAUUGCUUUUACCAUUAGCAAAGUUACAAAAAAGAUAAGAAAACCAAAGAUUCUUCUUCUUUUCCACGUCAAAUGUUUUCCUCAAAGCCGUCCGUACAAUGACAAAAGAUCUCUGAGUCUGUCAGAUUCAGUUUCAAGAUUAUCAAAGCUCGUUGAACUUGGAAUCCUCCAACCCCAAUUCCCCACCUUUUUUUUUGUGUACAAAACCAAAGUUACAUUGUUAUAGACAAUGUAUCACAAACCAAAUUACUAUUGCUAUGAGCUAAAAACAAAAUUGCUAUCAGUUGAAAACAAAAUGGCAGUGACUAACCUCAGUGGCUGGAGUGUUCAUCCUGGCAGAACUUCCAAGUCCUAGAAUGUCUUGCAUCGGUAUGAUUGCGGUUUGAGCGGUUGAAG